GCUCAGGAUGAACGCUGGCGGCGUGCCUAAUACAUGCAAGUCGAGCGAAUGGAUUGAGAGCUUGCUCUCAAGAAGUUAGCGGCGGACGGGUGAGUAACACGUGGGUAACCUGCCCAUAAGACUGGGAUAACUCCGGGAAACCGGGGCUAAUACCGGAUAACAUUUUGAACUGCAUGGUUCGAAAUUGAAAGGCGGCUUCGGCUGUCACUUAUGGAUGGACCCGCGUCGCAUUAGCUAGUUGGUGAGGUAACGGCUCACCAAGGCAACGAUGCGUAGCCGACCUGAGAGGGUGAUCGGCCACACUGGGACUGAGACACGGCCCAGACUCCUACGGGAGGCAGCAGUAGGGAAUCUUCCGCAAUGGACGAAAGUCUGACGGAGCAACGCCGCGUGAGUGAUGAAGGCUUUCGGGUCGUAAAACUCUGUUGUUAGGGAAGAA
rnacentral:rRNA from 1 species